AGAAGCAGAGAAGGCAGAUGAAUGCAGCUUAACUGAUAACGGGCAGAAAACCAUGCCAGGCAAUCAGGAGGCAAGUCCUCGGAAGACCUGGUGGCGAAGGGGCGAGCCAGGAGCAAAGCCCGCGAGGGAAAUGGGCUGCCAGAAGGACAUGCGGCGGGCAAACCACGAGUGGCCAAAAGCCAGCAAAGCAGGAUGCAAAGGAAAGGGACUCUGGACAGAGUGGCCUCCCUGCCUUUAGGUCUCGAUCAUGUAUUGGCCACAUUUUGGGCGCGUGAGCCUUUGAGCGAGCUCCUUAUAACCCGGAAAUGGGUCUCUGUCCUUGAUGCUGUUGCACUUGUGCACGAGUCAGGUGGCAGGUGGACAACCUGUAAGCAAGGCAUGUGUCACCACCACCUUGUUUCUAAAGGCUGUAGAUCUGGUUGGCGGUCUUGCGCAGCGCGGCCGCCCUGUAAGCGGGGUCCAGGCCACCUGCCAGACGUGGCUGCGGAUGGCGCAGGCUCCUGUAAGCAGGGUGUGUGGUGCCUGCUAUCCCGGGAGAAGGACAGCAGGUUUGGAUGUGUGUAGCGUUGGACGUCCUGUAACUGGGAGACCAGGUCCACUGCCAUAGCCAGCCAGUUGGAGAGGUGCCCCUGUUAGAUGGUUGGGUGUGGCCUCCUUCCGCUGGCGGGAGCGAGCCGGAGCAGUCUGCAGUGCUGUGCCGCAGGGCGGGCUUGCAGACAGGAGCCGAGACUCGUGGGGUGACGGCAAACUCCUUAGACCCCAGAGCUAGACGACCUUCCUGUGGCUGGGUUUAAGUCUCUGGCCUCCUCUCCAAUCCCUGUGUCCAGGUGCCGAUCCUCCUUCCUGCAUCUAUGCCCGACACUCCACAUCCGGACGGCUGGGCCGCCCUGUAAGGAGGGUGCAGGUCUCACUGUGCCUCUGCGGGCAGCUCUGUCCUUUGCCUGGCUGAGGGUCCUCCGUAUAAGCAGGGCUCCGGGCCUUUCCAUUUUAUCUGCUGCGAGCAGUGUGGCUAGUCAGGCGGACCAGGCCCUGUAAGGAGGGUGCAAGUCCCGUGCCCCUUGUGGAGGGCGAGGUUCUGCAGAGCUGUGGACCACCCUGUAAGCAGGGUGCAGUUCUCUCACGGUGCCUUUGGUGAUAGCUCUUUGAUUUGGCUGGCUGAGGGCCCCGCCUGUAAGCAGGCUCUGGGCCUUUCCCUUUUGCCCCCUAAGGACAGUGUGACUAGUCAGGCGGACCAGGCCCUGUAAGGAGGGUGCCGGUCUCAGCCUUCUUGCCCUCUGGGAGCAGAGGAGGAUUUUCCCAUGGAAGGCUGGAGGUGAAGCGGUUUGCAGCAUGGAGCUCCUUUCCAGCCUGGGAACAGUCUUUUUCCCCCUGCGAGAGUGUGGAUGGCGAGAGAGAGGAGUGCCUGGGCGUGAAAGCGUUUGUUAUUUUCUUUUUGUUCUUACAAUCGCUGCAGCGUGCUUUGUUUUCUUCCCAGUGCUGGAAAAGGGGCGAGAUGCGUCCUCGUAGCCUUCUCCUCCCACCUCCUCACCUAGGGGGUAAAGCAACGUUAUAGAUUUCCAUGCCUUCUGGCCUUGGGGAGCAUUAGGCCCCUCUCUAAUACUUCUGGGCACGUGACCUCCCUGUAUGUCAGGGUACAGGUCUUAUGCAUGCCCCCUCUUUUUGGGUGGCUAGCGUGUUGUUUUGACAACUUGGUAGCUUACAUGACGAGUUCCUGCCCUCCUUGAGGGAAGGCAAUGUAUUCCCUACCCGAGACCCUGGAAAUGAAUGCCCUGCAGCCUGUAAGCAGGGUGCAGGUCCCCUUCAUCCUCUGGGUCUGGUUCCACUUGCAGAGGUUGGCCAGAGAGAAUAGCCACGGACUACAGGGAAGGCUGCCGGCUUCUGGAGGAUACCGAGUGUGUUGGCACCCCGAGACUUGGUGACCUUCCUGUAGCUCAGGUCCAGGUCUUUGCUCCUGUGUUCUACUGCUCCGGGCAGUAUUGAGACGGCCUCCCCCGGCACCCUGUAACCAGGGCUGCGCCCCUUCUGCUUCUGGUUGUGAGGGAGGAGGCCUUGUUUAGUCCUUUUGGCUCUGACUUCUGUGACAGGAGCCUGAAGUCAUGGGGCUUACGUCCCCAGACAUGGGGCAGCUUUGAUCCCUGAUCGAGACCGCAUGAGGCAGCUGUCAGCUGGCAUUUGGGGCUUUGCAGGUUGUCUCUGGGCUUCAUGCCCCAGCAGCCAGCUGUGUCCGCCCUGUAAGCAGGGUUGCUGGUGCUUCUGGUCACCAUUCAUGGUGCCGCCCGAGCAGUUCUCUCCAGAGUCCUGGCCCAUCGCACUCUGCUCCUGACUGGCCAGGAUGUAGGCAGCAGAGCCCGCAGAGGGUGUGCCUUCCCCUCUUUCCACAGACAGAGGACUGAGUGGCCGCAGAUCCAGGCAAGGCAGGAGAACCAAAGAAGUUAAUAGACAACUAGGACUUAACUGAACGCAGAGCAGAAAACCAUGCCAGGCAAUCAGGAGGCAAGCUGCCAGAAGGACAAGCAGCGGGCAAACCACGAGAGGCCAAAAGCCAGCAAAGCGGGACGCAAAGGAAAGGGACUCUGGACAGAGUGACCUCCCUGCCUUUAGGUCUCCAUCAUAUAUUGGCCAAAUUUUGGGCAUGUGAGCCUUUGGGCGAGCUCUUUGUAACCUGGAAAUGUGUCUCUGUCCUUG